rnacentral:lncRNA from 1 species
UGUGUUUUGUACUCGUUCGGGAUUCAGGCUGUAUAUGAGUUAGUGAGGACUGAAGAGAGGAGAGUUAAACAAACAAGCAAACAAACAAACACACAGGGCAAGAAAACAGGACCCAACAGCAGACGCUGACACCCUCCCGACCUGCAGUGCAGAGUGAUUCCAAGAACCGCGCGCGACAUUCCGUGUCUCAGGAAAGAUGGUACCCACACUAAGCUCAGCCAAGAACGGCCUCCGCGCCCGCUUAAUUUUCCGAACCUGUUCUUGUGGUGCUGAUGGGGAGGGUGGCCGGGAAGAGAGGAGAGACCACUGAUCAAGUUGCUGUUUGUAUAUUGGUUGAUUGCUGUUUGCUGUUUGUUUAUUGAUUGAUUUUUUUUUAUUGGCCCCUGGCCGAGGAUGAGCUAAGAAGCCUUUUGCAUACCUUGACCUGACCUCACUUAUCCUUCCACACUUCUACACCCUUUUCCUUCCUGCGCAGGGUCCUGAGCAGGUGAUUCAGGCCCACAUUCUCGUCAUUCCCGCCUCGCUGCUCAGCCCCUUUCCUUGGCCUGCAUUUCCUAUUGGUCUGUAUUGUGUACUGAAGCAGGGUGUUCCAACAGCCAGCUCAGAGUCUCUAGGUGUUCUGGGAAGGUAGACGGCUCAGUUUCUAGUGUGUUCUGACAGAGCCAGGCCUCAGAGUAUAGCUACUGGGGCUUACCCCUGAUGUGAGGGCUGAGGGUAGGGGAAGGAGGGGUGAAGAGCAGAGGAAAAUCCCUGGGGCUCAUGUUCCUUCCUGGGUAUAAUCUUCAUUUCUCACUGCCCCAAGCAGAGGAAUGAAAAUUGAGAACGCCCAUGUCCACAGACGCCACCUAGAUGAACUCUGAGUUCUGACUGUAAUCUGUAACAAGGUUAGCCACAAACCAGAACCACAGGGUGACACAGCCCGGGCUGUUUGUGCACUCCCCUGACCCCCAACACACACCCUAAAUUAUUUGCCUAGGAAAGUGGAGAGUCCAGUCCCUUUACCCAGUAAGCAUUUUUUUUUUCUUCAAACUGUAGAAUGCCAGGCGACCAGCCAAACAUAAAUUCUUUGGUUUUUUGUUUUUUUUUUUUUUCCAGGUCUAAAUCAAGCAGUGCUUAGAGCCUCCCACAACGGGCCUUCAACCAUAUUUGGAAGAAAAGAAGGAAUCCAGAGAGGAAAUGGUUACCUGUGCUUACAGGCGGUCUGCACCACAAGCGCUGACUCAGCAAGAGGGAACUCUGCGUACCCCUGUCCCGAAAGCCCCUUGAGCAAGGACGUCAGAAAGAGACUAAAAUGGAGGGACAGCCUCCGAGGGCCCUGGAGCAGGGUAACAUGAGAUCUAUGACUAUCUAGUCAUUCGCUACCUGCAUUUGAAAGCAUAUGCAUUAUUAUGGUUGUCACCAUUUAUAGUAGUAUACUUAGACGUUGUCCAUCGAAUCUGGACGCAUACUCAAUUUGAAACUAAAUAAAACCUAAAGGAACAUAGGUGACCAUGAGGGACUCCAGGGAACAUUCUCUGGGACGGAACUCUGUGAAGAGUGGAGAAGAGGCCUCUAGGAUCAAGCUAUUCAUCAUGGAUACAGCCUCAGAUCCAGGACCUCCACCCUCUGGUGCAGUAUUUCCAGGAUAUUAGUGGGGGACUGUGGACCAUUCAAGCCUUGGAACAAGUCUAGCCCAACCACUGUCUAACUUUGCUGCUGACGGAAGCCUGACCCAGCCCUGACCUCGUAGACCUUAUAGGAAUAUGUUCUCAGCUCACUGCUCCACAUUUCUGGCCCUGUGACCUCACCAAACAAACACCUGCCUAUCUCAGAGCAUUGUAUCUAUUCAUGUUGAUUUCUGUCUCUUCCUUAUUAGUCUCUUGCACAAACCAUGAACUGGAUGAAAGCAAGAACGGGAUCGUUUGGGUUCUGUGGGUGACAUCAGGACUUGACUGUGGACUUGACUUGCAUCUGGCACAGCCUGCUCGCCAGCUCCUAUUCCCUUGCCCACCUGUUCUUUGACCUUGAACGCCCAACCCCUUUUUCUUGGCAUCAGUAUCGUCCUCUCUAAGAGCAGAGAUUAGGAUUAAUAAAUCUAUGACGUGCUUGUCACAGGGACUAAUGAGACUGUACUUAAGACUCAGCUCUGUUUUUUAGCGCGUUGGAAAUAGUCAAUAGGUAUUAGAGGAAA